rnacentral:rRNA from 1 species
CAUGGUAGAUAUAUCAAAGAUUUAUCGCUUAGAGAUGGACUCGCGUCCGAUUAGUUAGUUGGUGAGGUAACGGCUCACCAAGACCGCGAUCGGUAGCCGGACUGAGAGGUUGAACGGCCACAUUGGGACUGAGACACGGCCCAGACUCCUACGGGAGGCAGCAGUGGGGGAUAUUGCGCAAUGGGGGAAACCCUGACGCAGCAACGCCGCGUGAAGGAUGAAGGUCUUCGGAUUGUAAACUUCUUUUAUUAAGGACGAAGAAAGUGACGGUACUUAAUGAAUAAGCUCCGGCUAACUACGUGCCAGCAGCCGCGGUAAUACGUAGGGAGCAAGCGUUGUCCGGAUUUACUGGGUGUAAAGGGUGCGUAGGCGGCUUUGCAAGUCAGAUGUGAAAUCUAUGGGCUCAACCCAUAGCCUGCAUUUGAAACUGCAGAGCUUGAGUGAAGUAGAGGCAGGCGGAAUUCCCCGUGUAGCGGUGAAAUGCGUAGAGAUGGGGAGGAACACCAGUGGCGAAGGCGGCCUGCUGGGCUUUAACUGACGCUGAGGCACGAAAGCGUGGGUAGCAAACAGGAUUAGAUACCCUGGUAGUCCACGCUGUAAACGAUGAUUACGAGGUGUGGGGGGUCUGACCCCUUCCGUGCCGGAG